CCAUUAGAUGUUCUGGGCCGCACGCGCGCUACACUGAUGCAUUCAACGAGUCUAAAACCUGCUCUGAUAGGGGUGGGUAAUCUUUUGAAUGUGCAUCGUGAUUGGGAUAGAUGAUUGCAAUUUUUCAUCUUCAACGAGGAAUGCCUAGUAAACGCAAGUCAUCAGCUUGCAUUGAUUACGUCCCUGCCCUUUGUACACACCGCCCGUCGCUCCUACCGAUUGAAUGAUCCGAUGAAUAUCAUGGAUUGAGGAUGCAAGCAGGUUCGCCUGUCUUCAUCUUCGAGAAGUGAAGUAAAUCUUAUCAUUUAGAGGAAGGAGAAGUCGUAACA
rnacentral:rRNA from 1 species